AGUAGAAAAUUGGUAACUCAUGUAGGUUGGCAUCAAAUUAUUGCCAGUAAUACAUUUAUUGGCAAUCAGUACAUGAUCAGUGACUGAAUUAGUACAUGCAUAAUCAUCCCAGCUCCCUUGUUCCAUACAACUGUAGAAAUAUAGUCCACAAUAUGUUGAUUUGCAUCUUGUUUGAGCUAGCUGGCACUGUACGGUUCAGGUGUUGUAGGCUGCAAGCACCAAAGUUGAAGAGGCUAUUAACAGAAUAUAGCUGUUUGAUACGCCUUUUACGCGUUUGCUUUUGUUCUUGACAGAGGUGCUUGUGCCUCUUGCAUCCUCUCGUGUGCAAUUUUUCAAUUCUGAAAUAGUACAUUUAAUUGAAGGCUAGAAAAGAUUUAGUUCUUAUAUCAGGAGUCACUACAAUCGCCUAUUUAUUGGAACAUUUCCCCAGUUGUUUCACUUAGGAAUUAUGACUUGAUUUAGAUUUAUUUUCUUCAAACUUGCACCAAUCAAUAUUUCUAGCUCUUCGCGUUGUCCAAUCAACAUUUUCUGCUUUGAUGAAACUUAAGCAGUAAACUCAUGGCUACACUCUCUCUAAUGGUAAAGCCACUUCUUAUGUAACCACCACUCUUGUGUGCUAAGCUGAUACUUGACACAUGCAAUACGAAUCACAGGCUUGCCAUUAUUUCUUUAUUUUAACAUUUGUUAUAGAGGCUUGACAUGGUUUUGCCUAUAUUUUUCGAUGUUGGUACUUCUUAUGUGAAGGUCUUAUUCGUUAUUCUUUUAUUUAAUGACAGUAUUAUCAUGUUUCUGAUUAUGUUGCUUGUGUACUGUGUUUUAUACUCGGUUGCAUGUUGUUGUUAUGCUAUCUCAGAUGCCUGUUAUGCUAUGCUCUGAUAUAUGGUUACGUGGUUCUUGCUUAUUUGUCCAGCGUGUGUGUAUGACGUUGUUGGGUUGUUGACAUGGCGCGUGGUCCGGUUUCUGCUCAUGCUCAAGCCACGGUCAAGGCUGAUGUUGGGUUGCUAGGUGGCCGUGGGCAUGGUCGUGGGCGGUCUGCUGGUCGUCGUGGACGAGCCACUGGCCGUGGAGGUUCUAAUAUAGGGCGUGCCCCUGUUUCUGAUCAUGUCGUUGCCGGUGGGGUUGCUGCUUGCCGGGUGCCUGCCGCUGGGGCUGAGCCUCUUGACAGGCGUAGGGGCGUGAGUCGGCAGGUGCCUACUGCUGGAGCUGAGCCUAUCGCCAGGCGUGGGCGCGGCGCUCGACAGGUGCCUGCCGCUGGGCGUGGCGCCCUACCUCGGCCAAGUACACCAUGAAAUAUUCAUGUCCAUUAUCUAAAAAGGUGCACCAUGAAAUUCCUUUCCUUCUGAUCCGUGUACUGGAUCCAAAGAAGUAGUUACCACAUAUGUAUUGAGUUAACUGUCAAGCUAGCAUUUGCUUUUCUAGGAAAUACUGCUAAACAUAUCGCUGUAUCCAAAGAAGGAUGCUGCUCUUCUCUCGAAGACCACAUGAUUCCUGCCUUUUAGUGAUUGAUUUUGCUGACUCAGAACGAUGAUUUGUUUGCUUUAUAGUAUCCAUCACCUUUGCCAAUUUAUUUUUCCUUCGAUUAAUAUCUAAAUGUAAUUUUGACCCGAAGUUCUCUCUAUUCAAUACAUGCAUAAUAAUUUUGCUCAAAAAAUACAUGCAUAAUGUGUAGCUUUUCUGUCAAUUGGAAGUGAGCUUCGUUGACCUGGUAGAUUUUAUAUUAGACUAGCCGCACCUGUGUAUUUCUAUCAGCUUUUACUAUCUGUUCUUCAAUGGAUCAGUUGCAUCAGACUGUAGGUACUGUCGACCGUAAAGCUAUAAAUCCAGCUCUGCAUGCUUUUGUCAGUGCAACUAAGAUCAAUUUUCCGAUUUAUUUAUUGUGAAAUCUUAUUCUACAAGAGGCAAAAAGUCAUUUCUGUUUGUUCUUAAUGUUAAUAUGUAUUUCUGCCUCCGAUACCCUCACAAAUUUAAUAGAUUCUCCUGUUAUUAUUUUCUUAUAGUUGUAUUUGAAGCAUUGGCAUCUCUAGCCGAGCCGCGCAAGCAGAAAGCGGAGCAGGAGCAGCUCGGGGACGAAGCCAAGGUAUAAAAUGCCGAAUCUCCCAAUAAAGUGGUACUGUAUAUCGUUCACUCUGCAUCUUCUACCUCAACCAGAAUAUAGCUACUAAACACAUCGAGUUAGUCCGAGAAUAACUCUGAACCUCUGCUAUCUCUCUCUGCCGUGUGAACUGAUGAUGCAGGAUGACAAAGUUGUGAACUAAGCCGCAAAAUGAGGCCAAGAGCAUGAUGGCGUCAUCGCUAUCGUCCCCUUCAGCGUCCAGGAACCAGGCAAAACGCCAUUGUCAAUGUGAGGGGCGAUGAGCGAAUGGGCGGCGGCAUCGCGCACAAUGGCAUGACGAUCAGAUCGGCGACGUGAUCGAUCAGUUCAUUAUUGUCGAUCGUUGUGUGGGAUUCUAUGUCAAUCUUUUUCUGUAAACUUUUGUUUUGUUGAUUCCAAUUAUUUAAGAAAUUGUAAAAUUUUGUAUCUUCUGUAAGUAAAUGUCAGUGCCAAGGCGUCUUUUGUAUAUUUCAUGCAAUUCUCAUAAGGUUGCGAACGAACUUAUUAUUUUGUGUUAUUCUAAACCUUGAAACUUUUGGUGCAUUAUAUAUGCUAAAUAUUAUAUGAAAUGCAUCAAUGGAAUGUGAUCUUCAUGACUUUUACCGGAUUGGAUAUGAUUCACCCGGCAGGGCUGCGGCAAGCCGCACUUCCUACUAACUUAAACCAUGCUUUCUACUAACCGAUGAUUACCUUCUUGACCACAUCGUUGGGACCGGCACCCCGCGUUCCUGAUCUAGUAGGAGAGGAUCAGCCGGCUUGCCGCUGCUAGCUGAGUGCGGUUGCGUGGCCGCGUGGCGCCAGUCGUGGGUCGGGCGACUUGCUGUCGACUUGGCGGGCAGCCGUGGGCGGCGGCCGAUGUACCCCGCUGGCGAGAUAAUUGCAUCUAUAGUCCUCGUAGUUGCUGGCUAGGUUUAACAUGGUCCUCGUACUUGACAAGUGCUUCAGUACAGUCCUUAUACAUGAAAAUACGUUGUGUAUAUGGUCCUGAUACUUGAAACAACGGUCCUGAGUCGAGUCUUUGUGUACGUAUUCCGUAUAGCGCAACGUGGCCAAGUGCAGGUCCCAGUUGUCGGUGGGGGAGGGGGAAAAAUGAUGCGCGCUGUGAGGAAUUGGAUUCGAACCCGAGACAUAAACAAACCAACAUCACACGGGCUAGCCAUUUAAGCUAACAGCAAUUAUACUGAAAGUUUAUUAUAUACAGUAUAUAGUGUCAUCCACCUGAUCUGGCGUGCCCAUGCGUGGGCGCUGUGCAUGUUUCUUUCUUCUUUUCUAAAAAUGUGUUCUAGUAACAUAAAUUUUAGUAUUUAAGUGAAGGCACACUUCUUUUUUGCGAGCAAACUUCCAAUCUAACUAUUCAUUCGCUAUCAAGAUAGUACAAAGAACACCUGAAGUAAAAAAAUACAUCCAGAUCCGUAGACUACCUAGCGACGACUACAAGUACUGGAGCGAGCCGAAGGCGCGCCGCCGUCACCGCCCCUCCCUUAUCAGAGCCGGGCAAACGUUGUUGUAGUAGACAAUGGGUGUCCAUGCUUCAUAUUUAUUUUAUUAUUUUGGUGGACUGAUUUUAGUAUAGUUUGCUAUUCUAAAUAUGUUAAAAAUUAAUAAAUUAAUCUAUUGUGUUUGAUAGCUUAGUAGAUUUAGUAAAUUUAAUAAACUUUUUAGUAGAUUUUGUUUGAUAGCAUAUUGUGUGAGGUACAACUCACCUUCCAUUUAGUUGAGCGAAAAUAUUUCAAAUAUGAACCUUAUGCACUUUUUUCCUUCUAAUUGUGAAUUCAAGUACAUCAUCACGCAUUUCCCAUUUGCUGUAGCACUACAUAAUGGUAUACUUCUUUUAGAAAUUCUACUCCUUGAUUAUAUCAAUUCUACAUUUGGUUUCUUACGCCUUCUGGGCCAUGGUUGUGAUUAUUUUAGUAGCUGAAUGAGAAAAUUAACUUAUACUUCCUCUGUCUCAUAAUUUAAGACGUUUUUCUAACACCACUAGGGAGUAGUUAAUAGUAACCGAACGAACAUAAAACGGCCAUGCCAAUGAGUAGAAUACACAUAGGCGCAUGAGGUGCUCCAGCUCAGUGACGGAGCUUCAUGGGGGCCAACCUGGGCGGUGGCCCCCCCCAGCUCACAGGAAAAUAUAUGUAUAUAUCUUAGUUUUAGGCCUAUUUUUUCACCAAAAAUCAGCCUGUAGUGANNNNNNNNNNNNNNNNNNNNNNNNNNNNNNNNNNNNNNNNNNNNNNNNNNNNNNNNNNNNNNNNNNNNNNNNNNNNNNNNNNNNNNNNNNNNNNNNNNNNNNNNNNNNNNNNNNNNNNNNNNNNNNNNNNNNNNNNNNNNNNNNNNNNNNNNNNNNNNNNNNNNNNNNNNNNNNNNNNNNNNNNNNNNNNNNNNNNNNNNNNNNNNNNNNNNNNNNNNNNNNNNNNNNNNNNNAUUCUUGCCCAAGCUCCGCCACUGCUCCAGCUCACUGUGUUACAAGAACAGAUUUGGGUCAGCUGGUAUGUACUGGAGUGAUCUAGCCAUGACAACGCAAGUAUGAAUUCCCACCGGCGCAUGGACGCGACAGUUUAAUUUUCGUUAUAUUUUUAUAAGCGCCUGCUGACAGGCGGGUCCCGUAGAAGACAAACCGCUGACAGGUGGCUGUCGCACUGCGCUAUACAGAAUACGCACACUACGGCUCAACUCAGGACCAUUGUUUCAAGUACGAGGACCGUAUACACCACGUAUUUUUAUGUAUGAGCAGUGGCGGACCCAGGAUUGGCUGACGUCCCAGGCGAGAAACUAAGGGCUAAAAACUACCCAAAAAAAACUCCAGUUUCAAGGCAUACAAAAGUCAAUCUAUCUUGCAUAACUAAUAAGAAACCAAACAUAAUAUUCAAUGGCAGCAUUUGUUCCAUGAUGGGUCAACUAAUAAAGCAAGACAAAUCAAAAGACUAUAUGUAGCAUAUAUAGAUGAUACAAAAAAUUGAUACCAAAUCAAAGGAUUGGUUGAUCUGAGCCUCCCAUGGGUCUAACAAACAGUGGCAUCUAGCAACUAAAAUCAUCAUAAAAAAUUACUCAAAACAGUUGAUUUGAAGUUAUGCUUCCUUACAAAAGAACUUGGUUCUUCUAAACUAUGCUAUUCUGCCACAUGUAUCACCAAAUACAUGGCUUCCCUUUUCUGCCUAUUCGGCACAAAGCUUUGUCCUAUAGUAACAUAAGAAAGAAAGAAACAUGGGUCUAAUUUGAACAUUUAUAACCAUCUUUCAGCACUAAUUUAAGCUGUUGCCAACUUUUGCAAGACCUAACUUGGUGUGCUAACAAAAUACAAGUAAUAGAUUAAGGCAGCUUUUAUUUCUUUCCAAACGGCCAUCAAGUCUUCUUCUGCUAUUUAAUCACAAUUUUUUCUUCAAGUACUGAAAUUUGUCUCGUAGCUUUGCGCUGUGCCACGGCUGAUUUAAAAGAUCAAACAGAAGAUUCAUUACCCUGACUACUGCAAGGUUUAAGGUAUGCUAUGCUAUCCAACAGCUUCAUGAAGACUACAUGGUCAUGAAUAGAAUGUGUAUUCACUCAUGGCAUUUAAGUUAUUUCUCCAGUUAAAGCAGAAACAGUUUCUCAAUGCAUAAUUUAUACUAUUCAUGGCAUUACAGAACUGACCAGAACCCUGUGCAGAUAAUGACUUGGCCAAGUUUUGGAGUCCUCUUAUAUCAUUAACCUUGUUCUUCUUCAGAGUUGAAUUAGUAGAGUCCAAGUGGCUGGGAUACUGGCUGGGAUGAAUGUGCACAACAGCACAAGAGCAUUUGCAAAAGCCUAGAAGUACAUAAAAAAAGUAACAAAUGUAACAGAUGAGACUAACAAUACAAUCAGGGGUCAUUCAGAAUACAAAGUUGCAGUUCAAGCAGCACAAUAGACUUCUCCAGAAAAUUUAAUCACAAAGAGCUAAUCAUACUGACAUGUAGCCUCGCGCCCUAGCCGCCGUAGCUGCCUAGCCGGGGUCGCCGCCUCGUGCCCUCGCCGGACAGGCCAGCAGCCGGCAGCGGUGCAACCUGACGCGGGGACGCCGCAGAAGCAGAAGGGAGCGAAGACUGGAAGGUGGGGGGAGCCCGGGGGCGCUGCCGGACGGAGCUGGCAGGCACGACGGCAGGCGGUGGCGGCGCCUAGGGUUCGUCAAGUCGGGGGAAGAAGCAGAAGGGGCGGCUGCGGCUGGUUCGUCUCUGCGGGCGGUGAGGGUUGCGCGUUUGUGCGG
rnacentral:lncRNA from 1 species